UGGGGAAUAUUGCACAAUGGGCGCAAGCCUGAUGCAGCCAUGCCGCGUGUAUGAAGAAGGCCUUCGGGUUGUAAAGUACUUUCAGCGGGGAGGAAGGCGAUGUGGUUAAUAACCGCGUCGAUUGACGUUACCCGCAGAAGAAGCACCGGCUAACUCCGUGCCAGCAGCCGCGGUAAUACGGAGGGUGCAAGCGUUACUCGGAAUUACUGGGCGUAAAGCGCACGCAGGCGGUCUGUCAAGUCGGAUGUGAAAUCCCCGGGCUCAACCUGGGAACUGCAUCCGAAACUGGCAGGCUUGAGUCUCGUAGAGGGGGGUAGAAUUCCAGGUGUAGCGGUGAAAUGCGUAGAGAUCUGGAGGAAUACCGGUGGCGAAGGCGGCCCCCUGGACGAAGACUGACGCUCAGGUGCGAAAGCGUGGGGAGCAAACA
rnacentral:rRNA from 1 species